CGCUUCGGUGAAAGGGGCGCCCUUUCCAAAGGACCACGACGGUGAAAGAAACCCACCAAGCCCCACCCCUCCCGCCCACGGCGGCUGCUCACCCGCCCGGGUGAACAUCGCCAACUGAGCUGGAUUUCGGUCCGGUUGCUUGCUCUAGGCUCGCCGCAGACAUACAACGGCCCUCGCCGGGACUGGCAUCCCAUUGCGAGGGCCUCACCACCAAGGAAGAAACCCAAGACUUCCCG
rnacentral:ncRNA from 1 species